rnacentral:rRNA from 1 species
UACGGGGGGGGCAAGCGUUGUUCGGAAUUACUGGGCGUAAAGGGUUCGUAGGUGGCUCGCUAAGUCAGACGUGAAAUCCCUCAGCUUAACUGGGGAACUGCGUCUGAUACUGGAUGGCUUGAGUUUGGGAGAGGGAUGCGGAAUUCCAGGUGUAGCGGUGAAAUGCGUAGAUAUCUGGAGGAACACCGGUGGCGAAGGCGGCAUCCUGGACCAACACUGACACUGAGGAGCGAAAGCCAGGGGAGCAAACGGG